rnacentral:rRNA from 1 species
AUUGAACGCUGGCGGCAGGCCUAACAAAUGCAAGUCGAGCGAGCGGCGGACUGGUGAGUAAUGCCUGGGAAUUGCCCAGUCGAGGUGGAUAACAGUUGGAAACGACUGCUAAUACCGCAUACGAUUGGAUUGCCCAGGUGGGAUUAGCUAGUUGGUGAGGUAAUGGCUCACCAAGGCGACGAUCCCUAGCUGGUAUGAGAGGAUGACCAGCCACACUGGAACUUAGAACCGGUCCAGCCUCCUACGGUCGGCAGCAAUGGGGAAUAUUGCACAAUGGGGGAAACCCUGAUGCAGCCAUGCCGCGUGUGUGAAGCAGGCCUUCGGGUUGUAAAGCACUUUCAGCGAGGCGGCGUUACUCGCAGAAGAAGCACCGGCUAACUCCGUGCCAGCAGCCGCGGUAAUUC